rnacentral:rRNA from 1 species
UACGUAGGGUGCGAGCGUUGUCCGGAAUUAUUGGGCGUAAAGAGCUCGUAGGCGGCCUGUUGCGUCCGCUGUGAAAUCCCGGGGCUCAACCCCGGGCUUGCAGUGGAUACGGGCUGGCUAGAGGCAGGCAGGGGAGAACGGAAUUCCCGGUGUAGCGGUGAAAUGCGCAGAUAUCGGGAGGAACACCGGUGGCGAAGGCGGUUCUCUGGGCCCGUACUGACGCUGAGGAGCGAAAGCGUGGGGAGCGAACAGG